GUAAGGCCUUUCGGGGUACACGAGCGGCGAACGGGUGAGUAACACGUGGGUGAUCUGCCCUGCACUCUGGGAUAAGCUUGGGAAACUGGGUCUAAUACCGGAUAUGACCGCAUGCCGCAUGGUGUGUGGUGGAAAGAUUUAUCGGUGCAGGAUGGGCCCGCGGCCUAUCAGCUUGUUGGUGGGGUAAUGGCCUACCAAGGCGACGACGGGUAGCCGACCUGAGAGGGUGACCGGCCACACUGGGACUGAGACACGGCCCAGACUCCUGCGGGAGGCAGCAGUGGGGAAUAUUGCACAAUGGGCGGAAGCCUGAUGCAGCGACGCCGCGUGAGGGAUGAAGGCCUUCGGGUUGUAAACCUCUUUCAGCAGGGACGAAGCGUGAGUGACGGUACCUGCAGAAGAAGCACCGGCUAACUACGUGCCAGCAGCCGCGGUAAUACGUAGGGUGCGAGCGUUGUCCGGAAUUACUGGGCGUAAAGAGUUCGUAGGCGGUUUGUCGCGUCGUUUGUGAAAACCCGGGGCUCAACUUCGGGCUUGCAGGCGAUACGGGCAGACUUGAGUGUUUCAGGGGAGACUGGAAUUCCUGGUGUAGCGGUGAAAUGCGCAGAUAUCAGGAGGAACACCGGUGGCGAAGGCGGGUCUCUGGGAAACAACUGACGCUGAGGAACGAAAGCGUGGGUAGCAAACAGGAUUAGAUACCCUGGUAGUCCACGCCGUAAACGGUGGGCGCUAGGUGUGGGUUCCUUCCACGGGAUCUGUGCCGUAGCUAACGCAUUAAGCGCCCCGCCUGGGGAGUACGGCCGCAAGGCUAAAACUCAAAGGAAUUGACGGGGGCCCGCACAAGCGGCGGAGCAUGUGGAUUAAUUCGAUGCAACGCGAAGAACCUUACC
rnacentral:rRNA from 1 species